AACGAACUUGCGCGGCAGGCUUAACGCAUGCAAGUCGAGCGCAUCCUUCGGGGUGAGCGGCAGACGGGUGAGUAACGCGUGGGCACGUACCCUUUGCAGCGGAAUCGCUCCGGGAAACUGGGAGUAAUACCUCAUGCGCGCUUCGGGGGAAAGAUUUAUCGGCAAAGGAUCAGCCCGUGUUGGAUUAGCUAGUUGGUGGGAUAAAGGCCUACCAAGGAUACGAUCCAUAGCGGGUCUGAGAGGAUGAUCAGCCACAUUGGGACUGAGACACUGCCCAAACUCCUACGGGAGGCAGCAGUGGGGAAUAUUGGACAAUGGGAGCAAGCCUGAUCCAGCCAUGCCGCGUGAGUGAUGAAGGCCUUAGGGUUGUAAAGCUCUUUCAGUAGGGAAGAUAAUGACGGUACCUACAGAAGAAGCCCCGGCUAACUUCGUGCCAGCCGCCGCCGUAA
rnacentral:rRNA from 1 species